ACAAGGUGGUAUGUUGUCAUCUAUUUUUCAGUGCUCACCAGAGAACCAGCUUUUCUGGCAACUUAAAUCCUUACAGAUUCAUUUUCAUGUCUGGUAGAUACAUCAUGAUGUCUUCAACUGGCCAUAUACAACACACACAUCAUGGGUACUAUAAGGUCCUAUUUCAAGCUAGCAAGCUGGAGAGACAAGCCAACGGCAACCACAGUCCUGGGAUGAGAGACGGAAGAGAAAGGAGCAUGUGCAGUCUAUGCAGAGGCUUGGGAGACUAGCAGAAAGACUUGGGAGUCUAGUCGCUCUGAAGCUUUCCAUGGAUGGCUUCUGCAAAGAUGCAGAACCCAUUUGUGACUCUCAUAGAGACCACAGUGAAGAACUGCUUAUUUCCCCUGUUUCAUUACUUUCAUUCCAUGUCAUUUAUACUGUGAACAUGUCAGGAAGGCCUUACUCGCUUUCAUGGCAAAAACAAUAGUCUUGUGCAACCCUGUAGUUUUAUUUUACAUAAGCUGUUGUAGAUUGUAACCUGGCAGUAUCUAUCUACUGAGGCUUUAAGCUUCUAUGCUUCUGAAGUCACCUAAAGUCUGUUGCUGAUUAUCAUAGGCCUUGUUCUGCCUCAGUGUGAAAUUAUCCUUGACAAAGUCCAAGACAGCAUACAACAAAUAAAACGUGUCCGUCUUUCAGUUGCCAUAAAGCUCUUGCUUGAUUUUCCUGCAACAAACUAGCAUGGCUACUGUUUGGAACUUGCUUGUACUGAUCUGUUAUUAGAACUUGUUAUUGGACCAUUUUUGGCCAAAGGGGGGAUAUAAUGUGGUCUGUAAAUAAUAAAGGAGAU